UGUACUGCCCAUUGUAGCACGUGUGUAGCCCWGGACAUAAGGGGCAUGAUGAUUUGACGUCAUCCCCACCUUCCUCCCGG
rnacentral:rRNA from 1 species